rnacentral:ncRNA from 5 species
ACCUUGGCUCUAGACUGCUUACUG